rnacentral:rRNA from 1 species
UACGGGGGGGCAAGCGUUGUUCGGAAUUACUGGGCGUAAAGGGCUCGUAGGCGGCCAACUAAGUCAGACGUGAAAUCCCUCGGCUUAACCGGGGAACUGCGUCUGAUACUGGAUGGCUAGAGGUUGGGAGAGGGAUGCAGAAUUCCAGGUGUAGCGGUGAAAUGCGUAGAUAUCUGGAGGAACACCGGUGGCGAAGGCGGCAUCCUGGACCAACACUGACGCUGAGGCGCGAAAGCUAGGGGAGCGAACAGG